rnacentral:rRNA from 1 species
UACGUAGGGGGCUAGCGUUGUCCGGAAUCAUUGGGCGUAAAGCGCGCGUAGGCGCCAGAUAAGUCCGGUGUGAAAGUCACAGGCUCAACCUGUGAAUGCCGCUGGAAACUGUCUGGCUAGAGUCCGGAAGGGGCGAGUGGAAUUCCUGGUGUAGCGGUGAAAUGCGUAGAUAUCUGCAGGAACACCCGUGGCGAAAGCGCGCGCUGGACCACUACUGACGCUGAGGAACGAAAGCUAGGGGAGCAAACAGG